AUCGUUGCCCGAUGCCUAUUGCAGUGCAGUAGGAAUUUCUAGGGCGAAUGAUGGCCUUCCCGUGAGCGUUGUUGCCUCGCGGUUGGUUGAAAAUUGAGUCCUUGGUGGGGUGUGCCAUGAUAGAUGGUGGUCGAGUUAGCACGAUACCGAUCGUGUGCAUGCUCCCCAAAAUAUGGCCUCUAUGACCCACACGCGUCUUUUGACGCACA
rnacentral:misc_RNA from 1 species